UGCAGGGCCGGCUGGGAGGAGGAGAGGAAGAUCAGCCGCAAGGCUGGAGCUAGGGUUUUCUGCGCUUCCCUGAAAACUAUAAUUUUGCACCCUCCCGUCACUCAUAAAGGCCUUCUUUGUGGAACAUCGUAAAUGGGAAGCCCGCCUCCCCACGCUGGAAAUCGUUGUUACCGAGAAAUGUUAAAAAUAAGGACUUGUGUCCCCCCAAAUUCCUCGAACGUCUGAGAAUGUGCCAGAGGCGAUAGACUGACCACAGAAGGGGAUUGUCCUUCAACUCUUGGUCAAAUUUUGCUUCUACACCAUGGAGGAAAUUUAUCAGAUUUUUUGUUUUUACAAAUUGUGCUUCCAAAUGUGUAUUAGCAUAAGUAUCUUGAUCAGUUAACCAGUCUCUUAGAAAUCUCAUUAAAGAAGCCUGGUUAUAAA